rnacentral:rRNA from 1 species
GCAGGCCUAACACAUGCAAGUCGAGCGGUAGCACAGAGAGCUUGCUCUCGGGUGACGAGCGGCGGACGGGUGAGUAAUGUCUGGGAAACUGCCUGAUGGAGGGGGAUAACUACUGGAAACGGUAGCUAAUACCGCAUAACGUCGCAAGACCAAAGUGGGGGACCUUCGGGCCUCAUGCCAUCAGAUGUGCCCAGAUGGGAUUAGCUAGUAGGUGGGGUAACGGCUCACCUAGGCGACGAUCCCUAGCUGGUCUGAGAGGAUGACCAGCCACACUGGAACUGAGACACGGUCCAGACUCCUACGGGAGGCAGCAGUGGGGAAUAUUGCACAAUGGGCGCAAGCCUGAUGCAGCCAUGCCGCGUGUGUGAAGAAGGCCUUCGGGUUGUAAAGCACUUUCAGCGGGGAGGAAGGCGGUGAGGUUAAUAACCUCAUCGAUUGACGUUACCCGCAGAAGAAGCACCGGCUAACUCCGUGCCAGCAGCCGCGGUAAUACGGAGGGUGCAAGCGUUAAUCGGAAUUACUGGGCGUAAAGCGCACGCAGGCGGUCUGUCAAGUCGGAUGUGAAAUCCCCGGGCUCAACCUGGGAACUGCAUUCGAAACUGGCAGGCUAGAGUCUUGUAGAGGGGGGUAGAAUUCCAGGUGUAGCGGUGAAAUGCGUAGAGAUCUGGAGGAAUACCGGUGGCGAAGGCGGCCCCCUGGACAAAGACUGACGCUCAGGUGCGAAAGCGUGGGGAGCAAACAGGAUUAGAUACCCUGGUAGUCCACGCCGUAAACGAUGUCGAUUUGGAGGUUGUGCCCUUGAGGCGUGGCUUCCGGAGCUAACGCGUUAAAUCGACCGCCUGGGGAGUACGGCCGCAAGGUUAAAACUCAAAUGAAUUGACGGGGGCCCGCACAAGCGGUGGAGCAUGUGGUUUAAUUCGAUGCAACGCGAAGAACCUUACCUGGUCUUGACAUCCACAGAACUUUCCAGAGAUGGAUUGGUGCCUUCGGGAACUGUGAGACAGGUGCUGCAUGGCUGUCGUCAGCUCGUGUUGUGAAAUGUUGGGUUAAGUCCCGCAACGAGCGCAACCCUUAUCCUUUGUUGCCAGCGGUUAGGCCGGGAACUCAAAGGAGACUGCCAGUGAUAAACUGGAGGAAGGUGGGGAUGACGUCAAGUCAUCAUGGCCCUUACGACCAGGGCUACACACGUGCUACAAUGGCAUAUACAAAGAGAAGCGACCUCGCGAGAGCAAGCGGACCUCAUAAAGUAUGUCGUAGUCCGGAUUGGAGUCUGCAACUCGACUCCAUGAAGUCGGAAUCGCUAGUAAUCGUAGGUCAGAAUGCUACGGUGAAUACGUUCCCGGGCCUUGUACAC